rnacentral:tRNA from 1 species
GGGGAUGUAGCUCAACUGGUAGAGCACUAUGUAUUGCAUGCUAGAAGAUCAGGGUUCAAUUCCUUGCAUCUCCA